AGUACUCGUGUUGAGGUUAUGUGUUGACAAACGUUGUGGGUUACUGAUUAAUAAGAUUAGUCGCAGUAAAUAAUAUUGUAAUGUAAAAAUUGAAUAUGUCUCUGCCGUAUUUGUGGGGGACCAAAUGUGCCGCAAAGGGUUGUAAUUCUAAUCCUAGAGAGCGGCGGUUUUUCCAUUUUCCAAACACCAAGACUGCUUCUUCGAAGAUAAGGUGUCAAAAUGGAUUGAAUGUGUCAAAACUGACAAAAUCAGUGCAACAAACUUAUUUUUGUGCUAAUUGCAUUUCGAUGGCAGACAGUUUCGGGAUGCUGAAAGAACGUUAUUGAUGUAUGGUGCAGUACCUACUAUUCCUUCACUUGAUAGCCGACAGAAUACAUGUAUGACAUCAUAUACUGAGUGUCAAACUGCUGAUGCUAGUGUAGGCCUACAUGUUUGUGUCGACAGCGAGUUGUGUAGUGAAGAUGCUUUUGCACAAGUUCCAGUUAAUUGUACACCGUACAAAGACUCAUGUGUAGAAGCUUUUCCUAACUGUAGUGUUGAACAUGAUGAUGUUUCUGUGCAUCCUGCUAAAGAUUCAUUUUCAAGUAGAGUAGUUUCAGAAGGUGAGCAAUGUGAAGAAAAUUUACAAACAUGCGAGGUUUUGUGUGAUCACCCGUAUGCAAAACAGACAUCAAUAAUUAGUGCCCAAACUGAGUGUGAUGUAUCAAAUACCAAAGGAAACAAUGACAUUCGACCUACCAAUUGUGUAAAUUCAAUUUCGCCAGUUUUAUAUGUGAAUGAUUUACCAGUUGCAUCAUCCAAUCCAAAGUUGAAACCAGUGAGGCUGUUUGAUAGCAAAUGUAAUGAAAAAUUUGAAGGAAGUGACACAAAAUUUGGUGAGAGUCCUUCAUGUAAUGUGACAUCAAAAACUUUCAAGGGAAGAAAUAAAUAUUUAAAUAUUCUUGAUUGCGAUUCCUAUAAGGAAAUAACACCUAGGAAGAAGAAAUUGAUUAAACUGCUUGUUGCCCAAAAACAACACACAUUGUUAAAUAUAAAAAAAAAAUUCAGAAACAAAACCUCACUUUGAAAGAAUUAUUAAAUAAAGAUUGUGAUGCUGUUAGAAUGACAGAGUGGUUGUCAAAGUCAAUGUCACUUGCAUCUGCAAAUUUCUUGGCUUCACAAAUGCGGUGCGGCAAGAAGAAGCCUAAAGGAAGAAGAUGGACACUAACAGAUAAGAGGUUUGUUUGACUCGAGGUCUCUCGUGCCCCUUGGGAGUUGAAAGAGUUGGGAGCAAGUUGACCUGAGGGCAAAAGGAGUCGGUAACUUUUAAUACACGAAGAAAAUGCUAUUUGUUGUUAAACAAUGUGGCGGAAAAUAUAGCAGACAUCGUGAGAAAUUUGUUUGGAAAUGAAGAUUCAUAUGAAGAUGAAGUUGUUAUUGAUUUACCAUAUAUUGGACUACAAAUUAUGAGAGAGCUUGAUGAAGGUAAAAAUAUAUAAAUAUUGCUUUUUGACUUUAAACCGCUUGUGGUAUGCAUAAGCUAACCUGUACUAGGAAACGAUUGCAAAUCUUGUGAUUUUUAAAUAAAGGACGCCAAAUAAGUUAUAUUGAAUUGUUUUUCCGCUUCAAUGUCGUCAUCUAAUUAAAAUAUUACCGUCAUCACCAAAUGUAGCUUGAUAACAUAUUGACUCCAUCGUCAAAGUCGCGCCAAAACAACCAGCAGACGACUUGCCCUCGCAACUCUUCCUCGAGAGGAGGAGCAUCGAGAGCAUGACCUGAGUGACCUGAGAGCAACUUGCCCCCGCGAGUAAAACGACCAUCCGCCAUACUGCUUCCGGAAAAGGGCGCCCCGAGAGUUGACAGGUCAAAAAGAGACCUCGAGUCAAACAAACCUAGAGUGAUGGCAUUGUCUGUAUACAAGAAGUCACCAAAGUGCUUUGAUCACUCCCAAGUCACCUACAGAAUGCUUCACAAACUGACCGACUGUCACCUGGACCCCAAAGGCAGAACUGCAAUGAAGGUGGCUUUAGCAGCCCAGGUUCUCAGCCACUCUACUGCUGCUGCAAUUGAUUCUCUUGUAGCGUCUGUUGAGUUCUUUCAUUUUACAACUGUGUAAAUCUUUUGUAAGAUUUCUUGGCCAGGUAAAAGUUUUGUAUUGCGUAUCCACUUUUAUUCCUUUAUCCUAAUGGCAUGAUCCUGAAUGCAUUGAUCGUCUGGUACAUGAUGCUUGCUGUUUUAAUUUACUUAGUUCAUUAAAAGAUCACGAAUAAAACAAAAAUUGUGACAUCAAUGAAUUAUGAUUGUAUAAUCAGAUCAAAUAAAAAUCUGAAUUUUUUUUACUCUCUAACUUUGUAAUGUAAUAAUUUUUGUUAUGUCCAGGAUCUUUAGAUGUAAGCAUCAUCUACCACAGGAUCAAUCAUGAAGUAUCAUGCCAUCAGGAUCAAGUGAUGCAUGAACUUGGAUACGUGUUCAGUUGUACGUACUAUCCCAGUUAUAUACGCAGUAUAUACACAUUAAAAGUAAAGUUUUUCGAUAUUCAUGCUAUUGGUUUAUUUUUGAUUAAUAUCUUGUGAGAUACUGAUUGAAAGAAGAAAGAAAAGCCUAAUAGAUGUAGACUGUAGGGGCUAUUAAGAUCAUGGAAAUUGUGGGGUGAAAAUUUAAAGUUCUGAAAAAUUAAAUUAUACAUAUUGUAAAGUUUUGUUCAGAAAAAGGACUAGGAAAAUUAUGGUGCAUAGUAAAUAUAUAUUAUCCAGGCUCGUGCUUUUUUUUUGUUGGGGAAAGGGACGAGGAAAAUUCUGGCAAGUACACAUGAAAUGUCUAUUAGGCUUGUACCUAUUUAUCAUUGUAGGGCAUAGAAUGCUUUGUGUUAAACAAAAAGUGUUUCAUUUGAAAGUUUUUCUAUUAGUUACAUAUGUAAUAUGGUGCUCUAAACGAACAAUUUCUCUCAAAUUCAUGGUCAUGCCCUCUAUUGUUCAUAUUAAAAAAUUGGCCAUAUUACUUCCACAUAAUUUAUCGGUAUUUACAAUUUAAAAAGGGCGGUUUAUUAUAUGAGCAGUGUAGGUUGUGUUUAAUGUUGCACAAUGUAACCUAAUCCUGUCAUAGUUGAAUGUUAAGUCUACUGUAAAAAUUUUUGCAACUACAACAUUGUUUUAAACAAAAAUGUGUUCAACGUGACUUUCUCAGGGAAUGUGGCUAUGGAGAGAUUUGCCAAAUUAUUUGUUUUGUUAGUAUUUAUGUAAUUUGCAUUAAAUACUGGCCGAGUAACAUUAACCUCGUUUACCAUUGAUCGCACAUUUGAAAUGCUUGGAUCUGUUGGAAAGUGUACUAAGGGUGGUUUUGAGAUAUAUUGAAAUUUUUUUUGGUACUAGAGUUUUAAGUGAUCAUUUUUUUUCAAAGCUUGUUUUAUUUGUUUGCAGGCAAACUAGAUGCCAGUGCUCUUGGGACAGCACAUUUUGUUGCUUUUUUCAACAAAUUAUUUGACAGUGUCAACGGUGCAGCAGCUAGGCCAGAAGGAGCUGGCGGGCUUAGGUGUCUGCUGCGCAAAACAAGAGAGAAGUCCCAUUUGAUGUUUUGGGAAGAAAGUAUUGACCUCAUUAAGCAGUGGAAGGUGGAGAAGUGUAUGGCUACCCAGGAGAAUACAAAUACUUCCAGGUGUACUAAGUAUUUUUCCCCACCAUGUUUGAGUGGCUGGGUAAUUACUCUUAGGGGAAUGAAUCUGCUAUGAGGAAAGUUAAAGGAGUUAGGUUUCACAUACUUGCAACCUCGAAGUGUGAAUCAAGACCCAAUCGAACAUGUGUUUGGGUGCAUUCGAGCCAACUGUGGCUCCAAUGUUAAUCCUACCGUGCCACAGUUUGUUUCUGCUUUGAAAGCAUCCAUGAUAAAUGGUUUGGCGAUGGUCGACAACAGAUCCAACUGUGAAGCUGAACUGGAACCUUGUGAGCUUCUAACCAAUUUACGUGAAUUUGUUACAUGUUCUCCUGGUAUUCCGAGUAAACAAGGCAAUAGCUCACAAGAAACCUCUACAACCACCAGCUGUACUGUGGAACUUGGGAACAUAGAUUAUUCAGUUGCGUAUGUAGCUGGAAGUAUUGCAAAAAGGAUUUUAAUGAAAAGUAAUUGUAAAAAUUGCAAGCAAGUUCUGGUAACUUCAAUGCCUAAUGACUAUCUCCAUAGCUGCAUAAUUUUCAAAGAAUAUUCAUCCCGUAACCAAAGUCUAACCUACCCUGCUGAAGAACUCAUUGUGUGCGUUGGGAGUGCAGCAACAGUUCUUGAGACUAUCAUUCCGGAGAUUGCCCAAGGAAGUGCAGUGCUGUCCAAACUUUUAUCAGUAAUGAAGGCACAUGUUGACUUUGAAUGGCUGAAAGUGGGUUGUCCAUUGCAUGUAGAAACACUCAAGGACAACAUAUUGUCAUCAGUGUGCCACAUAUCCAUACCGUGGUGGUGUACGAAAAGAAAUCGUGAUUUAUCGAAUUCCAUCAAGAAAAGGCUUGAAUCCCGUAAAAUAAAAAUCUUAAAACAUAAAUGACUUGAAAAAGAAGGUAAUGAAUAUGCAAGAAAAAUUAAUUUUUAUUUGUUUCUUACAGUAACAUACUUGCCAGUUCCUCCAUCCAUUUUUCUGUGGGUAAUCUUCUUAGCACCAUGACAUUAUGUAAAAUUAAGUUCGGAUGAAUUUAAAUAUUGCUAAGGGGACAUUUAUUUUGUUUGUCGUUGAUGAUGAAAUUUUAGAUGUGACAAAUUACUAUUAUGAAUUAAUUGAAUAAAAGUAAUUUAAAUAAUUGGAGAAUAAAUGUCUCAGGGUGUAUAAUAUGAAAUAGUAUGAAAUAAGUUUUAUAAAGCAAAUAAUAAAACAUCCUUAUCAAUGAAUCCCAUGGUGUAACUCUUUUUCAGCAGCAUAAUGUCAGUGUCCAAUAAAUAAAACCUUUGAAAAUAGCAAUCCAAAUACUUUUAAUAAAUUAUUCUUGAAUGAAAACUUAAACAAUGCAGAGAGAAAAUGAAAUAAAUGAACUCUUUGCAUAGCACACUAUUACAAUUAAAUUUACAAACAAAUGCAAUUGUAUUAUGCAUUAGUAAUGUCUGUAAUUAAAGCAUUAAUUUAAGUUUUUUUUGUAAACUUGAAUUUCACUUUGUACAUACAAAGGUUAACUUUUAUAAAAUAUUUGGGUACAAUUAUUUAAGUUGUUGAUUCUUGUGUAUUUAUUUUUGAAUUAUUGGAUGCUUUGCAUUACGUUUACCCCUGACAUUUUAAUUUGAAGUGUGCAUAUAAUUAUCUACGAUGACAUUUACAUAUCAGUACUGUAAUGUUUUUUUUUUUUGCAUUAGUACUUAAUAUGAUCUGUUCAUAUUCAUACUGUUGGUGCUGCAGCAUUACACUUAGGAGAAUAGAGCUUCAGACACUGUUCUAGGUAAUAUAAAUUUGUGCUUACCAAAUAAUUCAUCUUAACUUUUGUUACCUAACAAUGUAUCUAAAGAUAUAACCUGUGCAAUUGUCAGAAUCACCUGUGUUGAGUGAUGUAACAGUUUGUGACAUGUUACUAAUGUGCCUUCAGUGUUAAUAACAGUAGCAGUGUUUUAGUCAGUACUGAGGAGCUGUUUAUAUGAUGAUGCACUGUAAACAUAUAUCAGUUUAUUCACCUUCACCGAUUUGAACAAUUGAAUGUUGACAUAUCGUUAAUUUCAGUUAUAUGUAUUCCCAUUAGCGAUAUAUCAUACAAAAGUAUGCUAAUGUUCUCUUUACCUUUGCUUCACCAUCAAAUUUUUGCAUAAAUAAUAUUAUUUAUGGCGUGUAUCUUUCUAUUAGGCUACCAAAUGAUCUGAAGCAAGCAUUAUAAUUUUGCUGACACAUAAAUGUAUUUUUGUUUGACUUACAGUAGUAUGUAAUGAUAGCUGAGAUGUGGAUAGUGCACUGAUGUUACUGAAUUACUGUUUUUGCUAGUCAGGAUUUUCAAUUUUAUGCAGUAGGUAUAAGUAUGAUAUAGGUAUAAGUUGUCAUUUAUGUAUUCCGGCAGGUAAUUUUUUUUUUCAAGUGGUAUGUAUGUAGCUUAGCAAUGGGAAGAAUUAUAAAGUUUUAUUUGUUUGGUUUUAAUGUGUCGACUCAAGUAUACCUGUUAGGCGUGUGCCCCGCCUCGCGUGAGUUUAACUUUGUUUUGCUAUAACUCUGUUACUGUCAUUUAGGAUGUUUUUCUUUCUUUAACUCUAGUUUCCCUUUAGUUGUAUUGCCUACUGAGCAGUAGUUUGUGUUUAGUCUGUUUUUAUUAUACUGCGAAUAUUUAUUACACUCUUACCACGCGUUAGAGACUUUGGCUGGGUUGCAGUACCUGAGUGAGCACAAGUGACAGUUGACAAUGGUCAGUAUUAUUAUGGAAGAGUUGGUAGCAAGUGUCGUGUGACGCGUAGCGUGAGUACGCUGUUGGCGGCUGUGACGUCAAUGACUGAGACCGAGACGAGUGUGUGGGCCGGCGCACGGCAGUUGGACACUGGGGCGCGAUCCGCGACGUGAGUGAAUGCCCGGGAGGACAGGAGCGAGUUACCGGACAGCAUGUGUGGUCGCUGAGGACGAGGCAAAAGCAGUCGUGUGCGAGGUGCACGCGACCCAGACGGCUGCAAGCACACCCAAUGGGGCCUGAGCUUUAACGUUUGCGGAGUUGAUUAGCUGCAAGAUUAGCUUUCAUGGCAACGUAAUUAAGAGAACUCAUAAUGCUAAACACUGGAAGUUUCUCCACUUCAGCCUUUUUGGUUAAUAAUGAGCUCAACCCAUUUAACACCGGUUGGUGUGCACACUUUGUGACGUCACUACGUGUAACCAGUGCACCUUUCCAACUGCGAAACGUUGUGGAGAAAUCCCUUAGCUAUGUCACCCAACAAGUAAACUUGCAAUAGACAGUCAAAGGCCUUUCAGACUCUGCAUUUCCGUAAAAAAUCUUGGUACGAGUGCAACCCACGGACUACUCUAUCUUUGAACGUACUGUAAUAUCUUUUUUUUGUUACUGUUGUAAAUCAUUUUGUAUUCAGACGUGUAACAUCAGGCGUGUAAAACCACUGCUUUUUAUGAAGUCAAGCUUUUGUUUGAAAAUAAAUGUAUCUCAGUCAGAAUUCAAGAACAAGUCAUUGUAAGUUGUUUGUACACCCUGUAGGGCCUAACGUUGCGCGAAUUAUUCUCAUAAUAUUCUCGGCUAAUGUUUGUUUUACUCUGCUUGUUUGCAUGGGUGUAGACAGCGCGUUUAAUUGGUCGAUUUUUUGUGAGAUUACAGCUGGUCUACACCCAAUAUUUAAGUUGAGGCCCACCCUGUGAGGUGGUUUACAGCCUCACUAUUUCAAGUUUUAUAGAAGAGCUAGUAAUAAGAAGUUUAACUUUGGUUUCUGCACAAUUCUAUAGUUUUAGCUCUUUUAAUUCAAUGGAACAUUAAAAAAACACUGUGAAAAAAUUAUGUAUUUUAAUUGGAUAACAAAUAAUUUAAAAAUACUUCUUAAAUUCGGAAUCAAACUUUUAACUCUAUUUUACUGGGUCGGAAAAAUGUUAAGAGAUGUACUGCCACCUGAGACACAGAGUAAUACAGUAAGAAAUUGUGCUGCUCAUAAUUGGUUACACAUGCCUAGCGCAACAGUAAAGUUACAAGUUGGCAAUGCAACAGCAAUAUAUUUGGUUAUUUUUGUGUAUGAUUGUAAAAAGUUCAUAGGUAUAUAUUCAUGAUGUAUUGAUCUUGUACUAUUAUUAGUAUGAUUUUUUAUUUAAAUUGUAAUGUGAAAUUAAAAUUGUUGGAUAUUCUUAAGCUUAGACUAUAAUCGACACAAGCAUAUCAGAUAUCAUUAAUUAAACAUAUAUAUUCAACUCCAUAUUAUUCAGUUUUACCAGCUGCAAUGAUAAGCACAUAGCAUAGUUUUUGUAAUAAGAAAAGUUCAUCAAAUUAUAACUUUCCUUAUGUACUAUCAAUGUGUCCUGGUGUUCAGCCGAUCAGAGUCAGUUAAUGUUGUACUACGCUGUCAAAUUAAAAACAGUUUAAUGGAAGGUGAAAGUGAGUGUAUUUACACGUGAAAAAUAAGGUCAUUUGUUUUGGCUUUUUCUUUGUUGGUUUUAAAAGCACGUGGGUUGCAAAAUUCAAUAUAUUUUUUAAAGGCCUACAUGUAAGCAAAUGGUACUUACGUAUUAUCGCCACCGCAGCAGAAGUUGCGCUAAGUUCGCACACGUAUGCAAUUUUCUUUUGGAUUCAUUGUUGCCUUGUUUGCUGAAUUUUGAUUACAAAAUAAAUAUAUUUUUACCAUAAUAUUGUGGUAAGCUAUUGUACAGGCAGAUGCCCACGUAGUUACAGUUUUUAGCAUAUUAACUGGGGGAGUGAGAGGUUUAUCAAAGGUCUAAUGUAGUUCUUUUAUAUGGGCGUAUGUCACUAUAUGUCUUAUGUAGGAGAAUAUUAUCUUUACUCGAUGUAAUAUUCUUACAGCACAGCUUUUCUGCAAAGUAAUAAUAAAAUUCCUGAAAUACUUUUUUCAAACACUAGGCACAUUCCUGUAUUUACCCUGACAACAGAAUUUCUGAAUUCUUACUGGUUUCUGAGAAAUCAGUUUAUAACUUACCUUACUGUUUGGCUUUUCUGGGUGGGUCUGUCUGUAUAUGAUUUGGAUAACUUGAGUUAAAUCUUAAAUAUGGUCAAUUACGUUAGGUUAGCUACAUUAAAAAUGCUUCAAAACAUAUUGGAUGGUUGGUUAGGUUAGUAUAGUUACAUUACAAAUAGGCUAUUGUAAAAUAUUUCUAAUUAUUGCUUAGGAAUUACCAAUUUAAAGUUUAGCUAUACUAACCCAACUAACAAAGUACCAAUUUUUAAUGUAUCAAUGUUAAACUCUAUAAUCAGGCCAUUUUCCACCAAGAAACCAUCGACUACUUUGUAUUUAAAUAAAGUUUUUUGUAUUUUGAAAGUGUUCUGAUUUUAAAUAAAGUGUUUUAUUUUAUGAUUUGUCACAAAAAUUUUAGGUGUACAUUGGCGGCACUUAAAAACAGUCAAAUAUGUAGCUGCGGUGGCAUUAAUACGCAAGUACCAUAAAAAUGCAACCUGAAUAAAUUUCUCUGAUGCCUACAUGUGGAAUAUCUUAAUCUUGGUACCUAUGUUUAUGUUGAUUGUAGCAAGUUUGCCAUGCGUGUUACAGUGCUUGUCAUUACGACUUUUCCAAGUCUUCAAAAAUUGUUUAUAGGUUUUCUGAUGUCAUUUUUUAAAUGUUUGUCAGCAUUUGUGCAAUAAAACUUUUCAUUACUAGUA